ACUUAAAUUGAAGAGUUUGAUCAUGGCUCAGAUUGAACGCUGGCGGCAGGCCUAACACAUGCAAGUCGAGCGGAAACGGCA
rnacentral:rRNA from 1 species